UACGUAGGGUGCGAGCGUUAAUCGGAGUUACUGGGCGUAAAGCGUGCGCAGGCGGUUUUGUAAGACAGGCGUGAAAUCCCCGGGCUCAACCUGGGAAUGGCGCUUGUGACUGCAAAGCUGGAGUGCGGCAGAGGGGGAUGGAAUUCCGCGUGUAGCAGUGAAAUGCGUAGAUAUGCGGAGGAACACCGAUGGCGAAGGCAAUCCCCUGGGCCUGCACUGACGCUCAUGCACGAAAGCGUGGGGAGCAAACAGG
rnacentral:rRNA from 1 species